AUACACCACUGCCACGGCUAGCCAGAUGUUGCCCAAUGAAGACGGGCGAUGGAAUAAGAACGAACCGUGUCGGAGGUUAGAGAGGAAAAAAUGAGAGUCUUGAACUCCGUCUCGAGUCUUGAGAGAUAACAAGCGAGAGAGAGAGAGAGAGAGAGAAAGGAAGAGAGAAUGUACCAAGAAUUGUGUCUGCUGAUGAAAAUCGUAGUAGGCUGAAAUUACCGUCAAGAUAAACACACAGUGGUGCCUUCUCUUCCACAGUACUUGCUGCAGCAAAUGUUGAUUUUUCUACCGAUACUAGAGGAGGGGUGAGUUGGUGGUAUCCGGCAUGAACCGAUAGCGCAUUCGGUCGCUGAAACUGAUCACUGAGCACGAUCAUCGAUCGCAUUGUGGCUGUGAAGGAGGGACGGGGAGGAGUGAAUUGUAAACAUUACGCGAGCUCGGCCGCGGUUGGUUUGGUUGUAGUAGAGUAAAAUUCGGAAUAGUUUUACAUCUGCUGGGAGUAUGGAAAAAUAAAGAAUGACUUCAUCACUCGA